GCGAGGACCCCUACUACUUCUUCUUUUGCUCCUUCUUCUUCAGUAGUAGCAGAAGCAGAAGCACAUCCUUCUUCCUCUUCCUCACCAUUGCCCCGCGGGCAAAAAGAAAGAUUUCUCACUCCUUUGAGUCUAACACGACGAA
ensembl:ncRNA T01A4.6 ncRNA